rnacentral:rRNA from 1 species
GACGAACGCUGGCGGCGUGCUUAACACAUGCAAGUCGAACGGAAAGGCCCUGCUCUUGUGGGGUGCUCGAGUGGCGAACGGGUGAGUAACACGUGAGUAACCUGCCCUUGACUUUGGGAUAACUUCAGGAAACUGGGGCUAAUAUCGGAUAGGAUCUCCUGCUGCAUGGGGGGGGUUGGAAAGUUUCGGCGGUUGUGGCUGGACUCGCGGCUUAUCAGCUUGUUGGUGGGGUAGUGGCGUACAAAGGUUUUGACGGGUAGCCGGCCUGGGAGGGUGACCGGCCACAUUGCGCCUGCGAGACGCACCAGACUGCUAUGGGAGGCAGCGGGGGGGAGUAUUGCACAGUGGGGGGACGCGUGAUGCAGCGGUGCCGCGUGCGGGAUGCCGGCUUUCGGGUCGUAAACCGAUUUGGACUGUGACGAGGAGUGAGUGACGGUAAUGGGUAAAGAAGCACCGGCUAACUACGUG